CCUACGGGUGGCAGCAGUGGGGAAUAUUGCACAAUGGGGGAAACCCUGAUGCAGCGACGCCGCGUGAGUGAAGAAGUAAUUCGUUAUGUAAAGCUCUAUCAGCAGGGGAGAAAAUGACGGUACCUGUGUAAGAAGCCCCGGCUAACUACGUGCCAGCAGCCGCGGUACUACGUAGGGGGCAAGCGUUAUCCGGAUUUACUGGGUGUAAAGGGAGCGUAGACGGCAGGGCAAGUCUGGAGUGAAAGGCGGGGGCUCAACCCCCGGACUGCUCUGGAAACUGUACGGCUUGAGUGCAGGAGAGGUAAGUGGAAUUCGUAGUGUAGCGGUGAAAUGCGUAGAUAUUAGGAGGAACACCAGUGGCGAAGGCAGCUUACUGGACUGUAACUGACGUUGAGGCUCGAAAGCGUGGGGAGCAAACAGGAUUAGAUACCCCAGUAGUC
rnacentral:rRNA from 1 species